UACGGAGGGGGCUAGCGUUGUUCGGAAUUACUGGGCGUAAAGGGCGCGUAGGCGGCCUUCUAAGUCGGACGUGAAAUCCCUCGGCUUAACCGAGGAACUGCGUCCGAUACUGAAAGGCUUGAAUCCGGGAGAGGGAUGUGGAAUUCCAGGUGUAGCGGUGAAAUGCGUAGAUAUCUGGAGGAACACCGGUGGCGAAGGCGGCGUUCUGGACUGCAACUGACACUGAGGAACGAAAGCCAGGGUAGCAAACGGG
rnacentral:rRNA from 1 species